UGCAGAUGAUGUAAACGAAUAUUUGCUAUCUUAAGCCCACUGAAGACAAUCUCCCACCAAGAUCGCUGAUGCA
rnacentral:snoRNA from 1 species